CCUACGGGUGGCAGCAGUGGGGAAUAUUGGGCAAUGGGCGCAAGCCUGACCCAGCAACGCCGCGUGAAGGAAGAAGGCUUUCGGGUUGUAAACUUCUUUUCUCAGGGACGAAGCAAGUGACGGUACCUGAGGAAUAAGCCACGGCUAACUACGUGCCAGCAGCCGCGGUAAUACGGAGGUUGCAAGCGUUAUCCGGAUUUACUGGGCGUAAAGGGCGUGUAGGCGGGACAGCAAGUCAGAUGUGAAAACCAAGGGCUCAACCUUUGAGCUGCAUUUGAAACUGUAAUUCUUGAGUACUGGAGAGGCAGACGGAAUUCUUGGUGUAGCGGUGAAAUGCGUAGAGAUUAGGAGGAACACCAGUGGCGAAGGCGGUCUGCUGGACAGCAACUGACGCUGAGGCGCGAAAGCGUGGGGAGCAAACAGGAUUAGAUACCCGAGUAGUC
rnacentral:rRNA from 1 species